UACAGAGGGUGCAAGCGUUGUUCGGAAUGAUUGGGCGUAAAGCGUCCGCAGGUGGCUGUGUAAGUCUGCUGUUAAAUAGUGAGGCUCAACCUCAUAAAGGCAGUGGAAACUACACGGCUAGAGUGCGUUCGGGGCAGAGGGAAUUCCUGGUGUAGCGGUGAAAUGCGUAGAGAUCAGGAAGAACACCGGUGGCGAAAGCGCUCUGCUAGGCCGCAACUGACACUGAGGGACGAAAGCUAGGGGAGCGAAUGGG
rnacentral:rRNA from 1 species